ACUACGGGAGGCAGCAGUGAGGAAUAUUGGUCAAUGGGCGGAAGCCUGAACCAGCCAAGUCGCGUGCGGGAUGAAGGCCCUACGGGUCGUAAACCGCUUUUGCACGGGGAUAACACCCUCCACUUGUGGAGGUCUGCAGGUACCGUGCGAAUAAGGGCCGGCUAAUUCCGUGCCAGCAGCCGCGGUAAUACGGAAGGCCCGGUGGUUAACCGGAUUCACUGGGCGUAAAGGGAGCGUAGGCGGGCGUUCAAGUCAGCUGUAAAAUCGCGCGGCUCAACCGCGCCCCGCAGUUGAAACUGGACGCCUUGAGUUCACAAGAGGCAGGCGGAAUGCGUGGUGUAGCGGUGAAAUGCAUAGAUAUCACGCGGAACCCCGAUUGCGAAGGCAGCCUGCCGGGGUGCGACUGACGCUGAGGCUCGAAGGUGUGGGUAUCAAACAGGAUUAGAUACCCUAGUAGUC
rnacentral:rRNA from 1 species